CACUGGGUCUUACCCGAGCCGUGAGGAACCGGUUGCCUGUAGUGGGCACGGUUUGGUGCACAACAAACGUUGAGCCGCAAGGGAUUUUGCGGUGAUGGGACUGCCAGACACACUAUUGGGCUUUGAGACAACAGGCCCGUGCCCCUUUUUUGGGGGGUGGCAUCCGGUUGCGGGUGUCGGCGUGUUGUUGCCUCACUUUGGUGGUGGGGUGUGGUGUUUGAUUUGUGGAUAGUGGUUGCGAGCAUCUAGCACGCAGUGUGGCUGGGGGCCUUCGGGUUUCCGGUCUUGUUGUGUGUUGAUGUGCAAUUUCUUUUGAAACUCAUUUUUGGUUUUUGUGUUGUAAGUGUCU
rnacentral:misc_RNA from 1 species